rnacentral:lncRNA from 1 species
UGUAAUACUUGACUAUUGAAGCAAUGUAAUAAUUCAUGAAGAAACUCUUUUAAGAGUUGUUUCUCUUCACCAAAAGACAUACUUUCUCUAUAAUCAAAGGACAUAAGUUUCUCUAUAAUACUAGCGUGUCAGAAUUUUGUUAAAAAUAAUAUUAAAUCAUUCUUUCUUUUAUUUAGUGCACGAAGAAAAUUGACAUAACUUUAUUUUGUAAACUAUCAUUGAUCGAUACACUUGAUGUCAAUCGAACCUAGAGGUUGAUGAGUCUCACACACGCUUUGAAAUUAAUGUGCACACUUUAUCAUGUUCAUCUUCAUCUUCUUAUUGAUCAAGUUAUUGCAGCAGACCCCGACACCGAUUCCAACGCAUCAUGAAAUAAAGACACCAAAAGAAUAAUACAACGUAUUGUGUUGAGUCUUGUUAUCAGAUUAUUGAAGUACAAACAUGUUAGAAAUAUUGCUAUUAUUUGAGUUUUAAUUGAUACAAGAUUGGUAUGAAUUAAUGCUCUUCGAGCGAUGCACUUUCUUAGAGAUUGAGUCAUUCUUAUAUGAAAAGAGAAAAAUAUUCACAUGCAAAUAUUUUUGUGAGUUGGUAUUCUUUUUCUCGUAUAAUAUUUUUGUGAGUUACUUAUACAAAUUUGUAUAUGAAAUUCGCAUCGUAAUUUAAGAAAUGUAACUCAUUUAUGUUGGUUUGAUGGUGUUGAAUUAAGAUCUUGAAGUGUGGUUUCAGAUUCCAUUCUCUGAUGUCAAUUUGGAUUGAUUAAUUUCGUUUUUUAAGUAUUUUUAUUCGUUGCAAAGAGGGUUAGUUGUAUUGUGAAUGAAAGUUAAUUAAAGAUGAGAUUAUUGCAAAGAGAUUUAUGUAUCAAAAUGGGACAAUUUUAUGAGAUUUUGUCAUGGUGAUAGUGUGUUUGAUUUUUAUCUAUAUAAUUCCCAUGACAAUAUAUACAUAUCCUAAUGCAUUCAUGUUGUCUCAAUAGUAAAUUUUCCAAGAGCAAUCGUUUAGCUUUAAUUAAACUUUAGCAAGAUGAUAAGUUCAUCAUUUCACAUGUCUUGAUCGUCAUAUAGCAACUUAUCCAUUUGCUUCUUUCUGUAUUUUGGGAGUUUAAUUUCUACUCUUCACGUUGUUUCCUAGUAGUUUCUCCCAUUGGGAUUAAGCUCAUUUUAUGUUAAAUAAAAUGACUCAAUAAUGCCGUUAAUGAGAAAUCAAUAAAUAAUUACCUUAUUUAAUCUAAUCACAUAUAUGCUUUAUAUGGUGAUGAUGAUAAUAAUAGUAAGAAUGUGAAAUACUUGUGAGGUCAUGGUUGUAGUGGUCUAAG